AUCUCCUCUUUGGGUCAACAAGUGAGAUGUUAAAACAAUUGAAAUGUGCAUAUGUUGUAUAUGUUUUAAGACACUGGCCUCUGACUCUGACUUUGGCCUCUGUUGUUGUUAUUUUUCUGAAUAAAGUUGAGGGGAAAAAGGUUGCAAUGAUCAUGAAAUGGGCUGAACUCUCUUACUCCUGCGAUCAGUUUAGUUAUGUUCAUUUCAUUUCAAUGAGCUAAUUCUUUUUUCUCUGUUUUGUUUGUUUUUGGGUCUCAAGUAGAAUUGAUUAUAAAAUAAGGAAAACUUUUCUUUGUUCGUAGAAAUUCUGCGUGUGUGUUUGGGUGUGUGUGAGAGAGAAAUAAAAAAGGUUUCAGUCAAUUUUCAUCACCAGGGUUUUCCAAUUUCCUGAACUCAUCCCAUUUACAUUAACACGAUCUCGUUUGUUGAGCCAUACUCUCCCAUUACCUCAGCCACUUUAGUGACAAUGAAACACAACAGCUUUGCAAUCCUGAACAAUAUGUGUAGAAUUUCCUUCCUUAUCUUGUGCCUCAUCCUCUCUUAUCCUUUUUUUUUUUUCUUGCAAAGGGAAACUCUGCCUGAUACGAUCAUGGGAAAUCCUGUUCCAAACCUUUGGACACUUGACAAACAUCAUUUGUUCAAGCAUUUAGUGAUACAACAGGGAUAUGUAGGAGCAGUGCAAGAAGCUAUAAAAGUUCUUGUGCAUUACUUUGUCUCUGGCAGAGAGCUUCUAGACCUGCUCCUUUUAUGGUAGCUAACCUUCCCUCUGGUCAGCUUCCUUUGUUUGUUUUCUGGUCAACCGAAUCUUUCCUCUCUAAAUGACAAGAGGAUAGAGAAUGUUUGCUUUUAUCCAGAACCUCCUGCAGCCUUUCUCUGUGUCGUUACUACACACUUAAGUGUCUAAUUUAGUUUCUGUAUAUGACUUUAUAGAAAUCAGCUCUGAGGUAUCCAAAUUAAUUCACAUCCAUUUUUAUGAAUGUGGCCUCUCUCAAAAUGAUGGAGGCUAUUUAGUAGGACCAACAUAACAGUUUCCUUUUAACUUUUUGCUGGUACACAACAGCCAUGGCUGCCUCAAAGUGUGCAGCUCCCAGAUUUAUCAGCAGUCUUGAUGUUGUUUGCUUCACAUCCACUCAACAGUCAGCAGAAGUACCCAACCCAGGAACCUGAGAGCCCCAUUUCAGCUGAGACAAAGAUUGCUUUCGGCCAUUUGUCAAUGAUGACAAGCCCUGUAAUCCAUCUUAAACUCAGACCCGGAGGCUGCCUCUUCAGAGCUGUUUAGUUAAAAUAAGCAAACAAUCUCAAAACUAAAGGGCAGGGAAAAAAAUCAUACAGGGGCACCAACAUGGGAAACAAGAGAAGCUUGCACAGAAUGAAGCAGGACAAACCAACCCUGUGACGUGCUUCCUGCAAGGAGCCGAGGGCCUACGGAUGACUCAUUUGCAGCAAUUGGGGUUCUCACCUGCUGGGUCAUUUCCACCCUUUAAAGAAACAAAGAGGACAGGGGGUAGACAGCAGAACAGAAGCUUCUCUGGGAAAACACAAACUCCAAACAGUAGAAAUCACUGGAGUGCAGAGUGGUCGAGACCCAGAGCAGGACCCGGCAUUCCUCCGUCUCAAGCCCGCUGCCUCCACUACACACUCAGCGACUACACACGGGCGAGAGAGGGAGUGAAAGAAAACUGAGAAAAAAAGGCUUUCCUUAGCCCAUGAGCACAGCACUGUGAGCCCUGGUGAGACAAACAGAAGUUGUGUGUAAUCAUCAGUCACAAAGGAAUGGCACACACAGGGGUGCAUGGUCAGGACACUCUAGUCAGUACAUCAGAAGUGGAAAUCUUAAAGGAGCCAAGUUCAAGGGUAAAAUCAAGUGUGAGAUAAAGGUGAUUAUUUGAUGGGCCAGGGGCUUAUACUUAAAUUUAAAUACUUGUUUGUGAAUUACACAGUUUGUCUGCAACUGCAAAUUUUAUUUAAAGAAAUGGUUUGACAUUUUGGGAAAUAUGCUUCUUUACUUUCUUGCCGAGAGCUAGAUGAGAAGAUGAAUACCAUUCUCUUGUCUGCCGGAUAAGUAUAGAGCCACAGCCAACAGCCAGUUAGCUUAGCUUAGCAUAAAGACUGUGAGCAGAGGGAAAAAGCUAGCCUGUCUAAAGGUAAAAUAAAUCCACCUUCUAUCACCUCUAAAACUGCCGUCAGUAUACAUUAGUGUCCCACAAUGCAAUUUGUCACAUUUUAUAGAUGUAAAAUAUGCAGUCGCACAAAACUACAUCUGUCAUCACUGACAGGGUGAUGAUGCUGGUUUAUGUGUCCAGAAUCUCUACCUGCUCACUAUAGGGUAAACUACAUAUAGGGAUUAGUGAAUGAACAAGGGAGUGAUUUCAGACACAGCGCAGGAAGUCACUGCCGGCCAAGAACAAACCCAUAAAACAGCAAUUUGUUGUUUUUACACUUCUGUUUUUGUACAGAUUAGAUGAAAAUAUAUAAUGUGUUAAUUAGUGAGCUAGGUGGAUUUUGUUACCUUUGGACAGAGCCAGGCUACCUGUUUCCAGUCUUUAUGCUAAGCUAAGCUUACCAGCUAAGGCUGUAGCUUCAUACUGAACGGACAAGUAUGAGAGGGGUAAAAUCAAGUGUGAAUACUCCCAGUACAGAUAAAGGAAAUACUUGUUUAUAAGUUACCCAGUAUGUAGCAACUGCUAAUCUAAUUUGAUGAUUAUGAGAAAAACAGGUUAGAGAUUUUAUUAGGGAUUAAUUGGGUUUGUUGUGUGGUUGAUAGCUGGAGGUUUCCCCCUGUCAGCAGGUUGUGAAACAUUGUGAAACACACUCUUAUAACAUGUUGCAGGGUUUUGUAGUCCCUGGGAACUCUGUGGGGGAGGGGAUGGUGCUUUUCCUGCUUCUGUUUUCUUUUUUCAGUCUCAUUCCCAAAAUGAUUGCCCCCUGAUAUUCCCAUACGCCCUGUGCAGGAUGUAUCAUAUUAAAUAAAGGGUGAAAAGAGGACAUUCUUGCAAUUUGUCCACAAGCAAUUUUAAGAGGGCUCUUUCCCCAAUUUUAUGUUAAAUUAUAGACCCAUACACCUUGUACCAUGCCCAAGUCACAUGGCAGCCUCGAAGAUUUGGUCAUAAUUUACUGACCUUGAAUGGCUGAACAAUGUAGUUGUCUGCUAUUACUCCAAACCAUAAGGACUGUGCUUCACCCCAAAGGAAAUGAAAACAUCAACACAGUGGUUUACAGCUUUAUUUACAUUAAUAUACAAUCUCUUUCAAAAAGCAUGAAAUCCAGAAUGCAUUGACUGGCCUCUCUGUUGUUUUCUGUAUGUUACAUGGUUGUUGGUUUUUUUAUACAUACUGUAAUCCAGAUAGAAACUUCAUAAUGCAUAUUUUACUUCAUUGAACAACAUGAAACUUCUCGUGUGUAAAGCACAUUGUGAGGGGUCAAACAAUUGGAAUUGUUACCUCUGUGGCAGCGAUACAGAAAUCCAGAGAGGAUGUUGGGUUGAUUUUCCUACAACACAAGACCCAAUUAACACUACAUCAGCAGGGGGAGAGAGAUGUUAGGCUGUGUUGUCACUAUUAGUCUCAUACUUCCAUCAAAACAGAGCAACAGAGCUCGUAUCACCACCAACAGAUCCCCUCUGAUAGCUUUAGGAUGGAAAGAAAAGCAGCACACCAGUGAUAUCUGGACAACACGACAGGAUGUUUCGACUGAAAGCACCCGUAAAAGCAGAUACACUUUCUUUCUGCCUUUCUGUUUUAACAGCAGACCCCCAAAAAAUAAAGACCAUGAGUGUAAUUAUUUCUAAUGUUUAGAUUUUUUUUACCAUUAUAAGAAAACAGUCGGGCAUUAAAGGAAUAGGUUUACAUUUUCGGAAAUACGCUUAUUUGCUUUCUUGCAGAAUUAAAUGAGAAGAUGGAUACCACUCUCAUGUCUGUUCGGUAAAUACAAAGCUACCACCAGCAACCGGUUAGCUUA